AUACAUGCAAGUCGAGCGAACAGAUAAGGAGCUUGCUCCUUUGACGUUAGCGGCGGACGGGUGAGUAACACGUGGGUAACCUACCUAUAAGACUGGGAUAACUUCGGGAAACCGGAGCUAAUACCGGAUAACAUUUGGAACCGCAUGGUUCUAAAGUGAAAGAUGGUUUUGCUAUCACUUAUAGAUGGACCCGCGCCGUAUUAGCUAGUUGGUAAGGUAACGGCUUACCAAGGCAACGAUACGUAGCCGACCUGAGAGGGUGAUCGGCCACACUGGAACUGAGACACGGUCCAGACUCCUACGGGAGGCAGCAGUAGGGAAUCUUCCGCAAUGGGCGAAAGCCUGACGGAGCAACGCCGCGUGAGUGAUGAAGGGUUUCGGCUCGUAAAACUCUGUUAUUAGGGAAGAACAAACGUGUAAGUAACUGUGCACGUCUUGACGGUACCUAAUCAGAAAGCCACGGCUAACUACGUGCCAGCAGCCGCGGUAAUACGUAGGUGGCAAGCGUUAUCCGGAAUUAUUGGGCGUAAAGCGCGCGUAGGCGGUUUCUUAAGUCUGAUGUGAAAGCCCACGGCUCAACCGUGGAGGGUCAUUGGAAACUGGGAAACUUGAGUGCAGAAGAGGAAAGUGGAAUUCCAUGUGUAGCGGUGAAAUGCGCAGAGAUAUGGAGGAACACCAGUGGCGAAGGCGACUUUCUGGUCUGUAACUGACGCUGAUGUGCGAAAGCGUGGGGAUCAAACAGGAUUAGAUACCCUGGUAGUCCACGCCGUAAACGAUGAGUGCUAAGUGUUAGGGGGUUUCCGCCCCUUAGUGCUGCAGCUAACGCAUUAAGCACUCCGCCUGGGGAGUACGACCGCAAGGUUGAAACUCAAAGGAAUUGACGGGGACCCGCACAAGCGGUGGAGCAUGUGGUUUAAUUCGAAGCAACGCGAAGAACCUUACCAAAUCUUGACAUCCUUUGAAAACUCUAGAGAUAGAGCCUUCCCCUUCGGGGGACAAAGUGACAGGUGGUGCAUGGUUGUCGUCAGCUCGUGUCGUGAGAUGUUGGGUUAAGUCCCGCAACGAGCGCAACCCUUAAGCUUAGUUGCCAUCAUUAAGUUGGGCACUCUAGGUUGACUGCCGGUGACAAACCGGAGGAAGGUGGGGAUGACGUCAAAUCAUCAUGCCCCUUAUGAUUUGGGCUACACACGUGCUACAAUGGACAAUACAAAGGGCAGCUAAACCGCGAGGUCAUGCAAAUCCCAUAAAGUUGUUCUCAGUUCGGAUUGUAGUCUGCAACUCGACUACAUGAAGCUGGAAUCGCUAGUAAUCGUAGAUCAGCAUGCUACGGUGAAUACGUUCCCGGGUCUUGUACACACCGCCCGUCACACCACGAGAGUUUGUAACACCCGAAGCCGGUGGAGUAACCAUUUAUGGAGCUAGCCGUCGAAGG
rnacentral:rRNA from 1 species